rnacentral:rRNA from 1 species
UUUUUUGCUGACGACCGGCGAACGGGUGCGUAACGCGUAUAGAAUCUGCCUUGUACAGGAGGAUAGCCUUUAGAAAUGAAGAUUAAUACUCCAUAAUGUUGAGAGAUGGCAUCAUCUUUUAAUUAAAGAUUUAUCGGUACAAGAUGACUAUGCGUCCUAUUAGCUAGAUGGUAAGGUAACGGCUUACCAUGGCAACGAUAGGUAGGGGGUCUGAGAGGAUUAUCCCCCACACUGGUACUGAGACACGGACCAGACUCCUACGGGAGGCAGCAGUGAGGAAUAUUGGUCAAUGGAGGCAACUCUGAACCAGCCAUGCCGCGUGCAGGAAGACUGCCCUAUGGGUUGUAAACUGCUUUUAUACAGGAAGAAACUUAGUUACGUGUAACUAACUGACGGUACUGUAAGAAUAAGCACCGGCUAACUCCGUGCCAGCAGCCGCGGUAAUACGGAGGGUGCAAGCGUUAUCCGGAAUCAUUGGGUUUAAAGGGUCCGCAGGCGGUCAAUUAAGUCAGAGGUGAAAUCCCAUAGCUUAACUAUGGAACUGCCUUUGAUACUGGUUGACUUGAGUUAUACGGAAGUAGAUAGAAUAAGUAGUGUAG